GUUAGUUAAAGUCUUUAAACCCAAAGAAUUUGGCGGUAUCUCAUUCCAUUCAGAGGAACCUAUCCCAUAAUUGAUAAUACACGAUUAACUUUACUUAAUUUAUUUGUUUGUAUAUCUCCGUUAUCAGAAAAUCUUUUUAGAGUUAUAAUUUUCUUGAUUUAUAAUUAUAAAAUAUUUCAGGUCAAGGUGCAGCUUAUAAUUAAGUGAGGAUGGGUUACAAUAUGUUUUUGCGUAUAAUGGAUUUAUUAGUGAAACACUAUUAAUGAAGGUGGAUUUGAUAGUAAUUUAAUUUAUUUAAUUUAAUUGAUAUUGGCUCUGAGGUGUGUACACAU
rnacentral:rRNA from 1 species